UACGGAGGGUGCGAGCGUUGUCCGGAAUCACUGGGCGUAAAGGGCGCGUAGGUGGCGGAGUAAGCGUGCGGUGAAAGCUCGGGGCUCAACCCCGAGUCGGCCGUGCGAACUGCUCUCGCUUGAGCAUUGUAGAGGUCGAUGGAAUUCCGGGUGUAGCGGUGGAAUGCGUAGAGAUCCGGAAGAACACCGGUGGCGAAGGCGGUCGACUGGGCAAUGGCUGACACUGAGGCGCGACAGCGUGGGGAGCAAACAGG
rnacentral:rRNA from 1 species